CCGCCCAAUGCGCCGCCCACACCGGCUUCGGUGGUGCCACCGGCCAUGGCUGCGCCACUGACCAGGCCAAGGGACAACAAGAGAAUCGAGGAGAACUUCAUUAGGGGAGACCUCAAGAGGAUGACGGCGCGAUCCUGAGGCUGUAUCGAGAAGGUGACAAUAGAAAUCCGACCAGUAACACGAGUUGUACACAAUUCUCUAAGUUACUGUUUUGGCUAGGGAACUUAAGUCGAUUUAGUGAGUCUUUAACUACUUCGGAAAGGCCGCUUUUUAUGCAAAAGCGGCCUUUUUUGUGCCCGGAGAUUUAUGCAGAGCGCGCCAUGAUCAGCCCAUUGUCGCUCGCCGCUUCCAAGCGGAUCGCCACGAA
rnacentral:sRNA from 1 species